GGUGGUUCUUGGGUGAUGCACCCUGGAAUCAGGCUCCCUACUCUCUGGUUCUGGGUGCAUCACCUGAGAACUGCA
rfam:Myotis davidii contig318390, whole genome shotgun sequence.